GAUUGCUUUGACACUUCUUCCAGUAUACUGACAUUAGUUCACCUGUCUUCCCAGGUGAUGUGUUAAAAAUUUUCAGAGACACCAUUGAUUGAAUCUUUCGAGGCGUUGGAGAUGUUGUGAGAGUGAGCCCCAGUGAACUCACUCAAUGGGACUUUCAAAUAGACAUAAACUGAAUUGCACUGUAGCUCUGGGCAAUCAUUGCUGUCUCUGCCUUUGCGAUGACAUAAACUGGAGUCAAGAGAAGGAAGCAGACGCUGCGGCUGUUCUAAAACGUUUGCCCACAAACGUUUGCCCGCAGCUCAGGACGGAAGAGAUGUGGAUCAUCUGGUGUGUGGCCACUUGCCUCUUGGAAGUAGGAUGGUCCAAUGCAGAGAUCAGGCAACAGUGGAGUCUGGUGCUUCAGGAAGGCAGAAAUGCCACGCUGGAGUGCGAACAAACUACCGACCACAACAGCAUGCUUUGGUUCCGGCAAGACUCAGGACAGGGUCUGCAGCUUCUCUUUAAUUUCUAUUUAACUCAACUACAACAAAAAGGCAACAUUUCUGAGCGUUUCCAAGCUGAGCAGCGCGAAACAAAGCAAUGCCACCUUAACAUUUCCCCAGCCAGACCAAAGGAUUCAGCUGUGUAUUUCUGUGCAACUAGCAAAGACACAGCAUUUCAAAGCCACCUCUUCUUCCUACCAAAACCUCACUUCAUUGAUGUGCAUGGAGGGUAGAGGGAAGAUUACCCAAGACUUAGUGGCAGAGGGUUCUU